UCUUGACCUCCUAUUCUGUUUUUUUCCCAGACACACACCUGGAAGUGCAUUUUAAGAGUUUGAAGCUCCCUCUGUUGCUGUUAACACAAAUUAUUCAUGCAUUUACUGAACUGGGGAUGUGAGGGGGAAAGAAUUUAUCGUUUUCCAAUUGAUCGAGUUUCAACAAAAUGUUUACAAGCUACAAUGUGUCUCUGAAGACUGAAGAGUCCCACACUACUAUCACAGUAACUUAAUCUCUGUCUCUCUCCUGUCCUCUGAAUGCACCCAACUACAGGUUAGCUUGUGUGCACUUGCUUUCUCCUUGUGUUCUCACAAUUAGUCAUACUGCAAUAUAAAUUAACCACCUUCAUCGAAUUUGACAUAAUUUCCUCUCAGAGGAAUAGUUGAACAUUUUGGGAAAUACACUUACUGACUUUCUUUCUGAAAGUGAGAAAAGAAAAAUCGAUACCACUCUCAUGUCUGUUAGCCUAGCUUAGCCUGGCUUAACCUUAACACUGGCAGCAGGGGGAAGAGCUAGCCUGCUCAACCAACUCCUCUUAAUAAACAUGUUUUACCUCAUUUGUUUAACCCGUACACCAACAGAAAUAUAAAAAUGACAAUUUAAGGUUUUAGGGGGGAGUUACAUCUCUGUUGCACCGGGUGCAGCUCUAUGACGUCGCGUCUGUGAUGCGGUUUCGUCCUGUCCUCUGCAUGGCUACAUACCCCACUGGGAGCAUUUUGGAAGUGGAGCAAUUUGCCAGCCCGAUUUUGUUAACUUGCCCAGAUGUUGAUUUUUUCCUUGAUUUUUGUUCUUCUACCAUGGGCGUGCAGGGGGAAGAAGGAAAAGGAGCCAAUAUUGGGUGCAUCACCCCAACCAGCAAAGGAGACAACAAGGGGAUUUUUUAUCAUCUUGUGGCUGAGCCAGGCUGGACAGCCAACGCCAUCAUCAAUAUUUUCAGAUGAGUUCAGAGCAGAUGGAUGAACUUCUGUCCCUCAUUGACCCUGAACUGACCAGACAAUCAGCAAAUUAGAGCUGCCAUAGAGCCCAAGCAGAGACUGGCUGAUGGAAUGAGAUACUUGGCUUCUGGGGACUCACUGGUCAGCCUAGCAUUCAGCUAUCACCUACGCACAACUGUAAUCAACUCUGUCCAUAUGGUAUGUGCAGCCAUUGAAAAAGCGAUGAUGGAGAGGUUCCUAUCCAGGCCAACACGAGACACUUGGAAGGAGGUGGCACAAGGCUUCUGGGAAAAAAUGAAUUUCCCAAAUUGCCUGUGAGCAAUAGAUGGAAAACAUGUAACCAUACAAGCAUCACCACUGUCUGGUAGUCAGUGCUUCAACUACAAGAAGACUUUUUCCAUAGUGCUUUUGGUGCUUGUGGAUUUGGAAAAACCAGCGAUGGUGGGAUGUAUGCCAGAUCAGAUUUGGGGAAAGGAACAGAGACCAGAACAUUUCAUGUGCCACCCGGUACCUCCCUACCUGGGUGAUGUGCCAUGCGUCCUGGUAGGUGACACAGCUUUCCCACUCAAGUCAUACUUGAUGCGACCAUAACCUGGACAGAACCUCACUCAUCAAAAGAGGAUUUUCAACUACAGACUUAAAAGAGCAAGGAUGGUGAUGCAAAUUGCCUUUGGCACUCUGGCCUUCAGGUGGAGAAUAUUUCAUCGCAAAAUCAACCUGCACCCUAAAAAUAUGGACACACUUGUGGUGGCUGUAUGCACCCUUCCCAACUUCCUUAGCAAAAACCAGAGGUUGCUGGAUGAGGAGGGGCAGCUGGGGAGACACAUGGCACCAGUAAGAAACAUGAGAGGAAACAGGGCAUCAAGAGAGGCUUGUAAUGUGAGGGAGGUCUUUCACACCUUCUUUAACCCUCCUGUGUGUCUUGGUAAGACAGGAUGGUGUGAUAACAUGACCAAAAAAGGUUAUUGAAAGAAAUUGUACAUAUUAAUUUGUAAAUAGCUCUCUUUUGUUUUUCAGAUUCUCUUUUUUGUUAUGCUAGGAAAGGGAUUUAAAAAGCUGAUAUGUGAUUAGGCUCUCAAAGACAAGUUACUGUUGUAUUUAUG